GUGGCCGGGCUUCAAUUUGUGAGCCACAGAAGUUCACAUGGACUCCAGAUGGACUUGGGAUGGAUCGCUGCCCUUUGGGGGCCCAGCUUCCCCUUGACCUCCAGAUACUGUCAGUGACCACCUGGGAAGGGUUGGUGGAGGGUCCCAGUCUCUGCAGUAGUCCUAUCUCCUUGCCUAGGGCUCCCACUGUCAUAGGGCAGUGGGGAAUUUAGGUUUUAGACACCCAAUCUCCCAAUCUCGUAAAGUCCCCUCACCCUGCAAGGACACAGAGGCCCAGCCCUCCUGGGUCAUAAGGAGGGGUGGCCCUGCUGUGUUCUCAGUCACCCUUUGAAAUCCUUGGCUACACCACAAUGAUACAUAACAACUGCUCUGCAAAAAUGGGACAGCUUCCAGCUCUUUCUCCUGGUUGACUCUUCUUUUUGUUGGGGGGGGCACCUCUCUGAGCCCUGACCCCCACUCCUUGUAUCCCUCUAGCCUGCUGUGCAGGACAACUGGCACAGCAACUGGCACAGCCCAGGAAUUUGAGCAGUGGCUUAGCCAUCUCUGUGUGCUGCAGGCUUGCAGAAACUGUCCUGGCUCUGGCUAAGGCAGAGUCCCACCCCACCCCACCCCAGUUUCCUACAAGGACAAGGCCCCUCUUCUCAACCCCUUGCCACAACUUCGGACUCAUCUUGGCCAUCGAAAGGGCCUGGAACCUGGUCCUGGAGCUGCAUCAUGGGAGAUGGUAUCAGCAGAGACCCUGUGUCACCCAGGAAUGUGGCUCUUGAGUGGAUGGGGACACAGAGAAAGGUGAAUGAGCAAGCUCCACCUCCAACUGCUAGAAGCUUGGGUCUGGGAACUACCCAAGGCACCCUGCCCAGGAUCCAGGUAUAAGGAAAUUUGCAGAGUCUCAGAGCCCAGCCCACACUGCACCACCCACAUCAGGGAAGUGGGGUUGUCCUCAGGCACUGUCUUCCAUUGGGCCCUCAGACCUGGCACUGAGGGUCAGUACCCAGCGUCCCCUGGAAGGUCAUUUGUGCCGACAACUUCCAGCUCCGGCCACAGGGAGGGAAGUAGUGGGUGCGGCCAUGGGGGUAGCCACAGACAGGCUGCCUCUUCUCCUGAUCCAUCCACUGUGCAUUAAGGCUUGAUUACAGGAUGUGGUGUUUAAAUAAGAGCAUUAAGGCCUUGGAAUUAGGUUUGACUGAGCAGUAAAGCAAGAGUUCUCAGAGUUCCCACCUGGCUGAAAAUUACCUCUCAUGUCUUGAUGGACUGAAUUAAGAUGGGGCCUCACCGGAUGCUCCUUGAAGGAACCAGGGAGUGAAGGGGGGGGGGGGUGUAGAAGCAAAGGGACAAAUUCCUUCAGUGUGUGUGUGUGUGUGUGUGUGUGUGUGUGUGUGUAUUUGCAUUGAUGGCCAGUUGUCUUACUUUUGUAGCUAGAUAGCCCACCACUGCCUUGCCUCUGGUGUGCUGGUGCAGUUUGAUUGCAACUUUUGGGGUGGCUGGCUGUGAUGAAAGCUUUCGUGAGAGCUCUCCUAGCCAUUUCUGAAAACUGUUUACCUUGCGUGAAAAAUGGGUUGAAGAACGGACUGCUAUUGAGCAUGAUUAGCUCGGCCCGCAGGAUGGAUAUUUCAGCUGCUGCAGUCAAGUCAAUCAAAGCGGACAUUCUAGGAGCCCAUUCCCUCCCAACCCCCACUUCCCAAAGUAGGAAGAACCUUAGUAAACUUGAGGGCGUGGCGAGGGAGGGUAUUUGGCGGAGUUGCGGUGGGCGGGCCCCCGAGUGGGCGGGGCCAGAGCUGUUGCUGGAAUCGCUGGCACCUUGGAAUAAGGGUCUGGAGCCCUCUGAGAGGCUUUGUGCUGAUUCAGCCCACCCCGCUGCUCACGUCUGAUUGCAGAGGGCCUCACCUUACGGUCCCUGCCUGUAAUGUCCACUGCUGCAUGGGCGACCGGGUCUGAGGAGAGUGUGGCCCAGAGAGGGCGGCUCUCUCCGUGCUUUCUGGAGGUCCAGGCCUGGACUGAGGUUGGUGGCCCAGCAGCAGCUGGCCUCCUGGACAGGAAGGGGCUACCGUGGGGCCUCGCUCACUCUCAACUGCCUCUGUCCCGCUCUGGGUUUUCGCGUUGGUCCUGCAAAGCCCAGGACCUGGCCAGCCAGGGCUGGGGCUGCCCAAGUGGUGCUCCUGGUGUUCCAGGGACUGUUCUAGUGCUCAGAGCCCUGGGAUGGCUGUGACCCCGAGAAAGCAGGCUGCAGAACGGGAGGGGCUGCAGCUGCAGUGGGUGCAGAGCAGUGCAGGCAGCUGCAGAGCUGCUGCCCGGGUGCUGCAGUGCAGAUGCAGAUGCAGGCGGCAUGUGGGCUGGCAUCUCAAGGGCAGGGACAGGAGAUCCACUUCCCACAGCCCUCUGGCUGCUCCUUACUUUGAGAGACAUGCUGUGGCAGGUCCUGCAUGACCACUGGCCCUUGUGGCAUUGGAAAUCAGGGAGAUACACUCUGGUUGGGUUUUUCAGAGAGCCAAGUAAUCCUGGAUAGGGCUGGGUCCUGCUGAGGAUGCUGCCCAGCUGGUGUAUGCCCACUUGACACACGAUUGGGGCCACAGGCACAGAGGCACCUAUCAGGCUCUGGUGUUCAGCCAAGGAGAGGACAAAGGGAGGAAGGUCCCUCUGCAAGGAUGCUGGCUGAAAGAUCACCCCAAAGGCCUGGCUGAUGAGAAUCUGGGGUCUCCCCAUGGGUCACAGAUCUUGGGGCAAGAACAUUGACUGUUGGAGUAGAAGGUAAGAUGGCCUGCGUGCACAAGUAUAAGCACACAUGUGCAUGGUGUGGGGACAACAAUGACUCAGUGUUUUCUAUAGCAGGGAGGAGGGGAUGACAGCUGUCCCUAGAACCUGUUGGCAGGGGGUGGGUGGGGGGGCUAUGAAGCUGAAGGGCACCCAGGACAGUUGCGCUGUGCUAUGCCCCCUGGCAGGCCUUUGUGUGAGGUCAUAGCCAGAUAUGGGGCCUUGUGUCUUUGCCACCUGCCUGUCCACCCGCUCUGCGGUAUAAAUAACCACAUUCUCAGCUGUCCCAUUGGAGAAGCUGAACUGGGCUGACCCUGGGCUGGAGGAGGUCUUGGGGUGCUUCAUAGGUUCCCCCAACCAUCUGAAUCUCACAGAAAAUACUACUGCAAGGAUAUGCAUGAAGCACCACAUUCCUUUACACCCACCCUUUAACGUAGCAGACCCAGGCCUGGCCCAGAGACUGUUUACUGCCCGUGACUAUAGACCUGGCAUGGCCUUUGCCCACCAGAGGUGAAGGGUCUCAGUCUAGACUGGAGCCUGUGUGUGGCUGCAUGUGCACAGCCCCUCUCUCGUGCUUCUAUGUCUUUCCCUGGUGCUCGCUUCUAUAUUGGACAUUCACCCUCCGGAGGUCAGGAGGAGUCUGUCUGUCCUGUGGAGCCAGAGGAACCUGCUUUUCCUCCAUUUUUCACUCAAAUAGUGAAUUUCUUUCAUCUUUAUUUUAUGAGAGAUUCUGGGUGUCCAAUUAUUUAUUUAUAUUAUUAUUAUUUUUUUGUGAUUACAAAUCAUGAAUUUCUAACAGUGGAGAUCAAACCACCCUUUAGCAGAGCACAGGCACCAUUCCCAAGAGUGUGCAGACUGAAGAUCCCAGCCCAGCACGUGAAUAAGCCUUGAAUGUUAGCAGAAUGGGGACAGAUUGCAUAUGUGCACAUCUUGGCCUUCACUACCCCCUCAGACCUUUGGACAGCCCACCAGUGCCUCCUGCUGAUUCCCUAGGCACAGUCUGAGUGGUUGCUGUCAUUUCUGAGUGUCAUGAGUCAUUAUGGUAGGUGAAGGGAGAGCAGGAGGACUUCAGAUUUUUCUGAGCCUCCUUUGUGCUGGGGGUUGCCUUUCACCUCCCCAGACCUCGGGUGUUUUUUUUUUUUUUUUUUUUUAAAUCCAGGGCCACUUCUUCCUCAAAUUGUUUCUACUUCUAUCCAGCCCUACCUUUCAGAUAAUGAGACACAAAAAUCCAUCUUGCCAUUUUUUUGCAAAGAACAGCAAAACAAUCAUGAAUCUCCAGCCUCCCUGCCUCCUCCCCCAUCUCAUGCCCACCCCUCUGGCUCUUAGGGUCUAUUUGAAGAAAAAUUUAUCUCUAGGAGGGGGCCCCAUCAAUUUGUCAUGCUCUUUUGUUGACAAGUUUAUUAAACUGUAUUAAACCUUUAUCAAUAUUAAAAAAGAAUACUUUUUUUAAAAAAAACAGAGACAGAGAAGUUAUGGAGAUGGGCUGUUUCAGGCUUUUUUGGUUAUAAUUGGUAAUAAUGAGAAAAGGGGCUGCUUGGAGUGUUCAUUUUGCCUUUUAAUUGUGGGUCUCCUUGAGAGUUCCUAUACACUCCCUGCAAGCCUGGAACAGAGCCCUGGAAGCUCCCUGGGUAAAGACUCGGCUGGGGGUUCCCGGCGUCCUGGCGCUAACCAUAAUUCUCUGCUAUUUAUUUUAAUAAUUAACAAAAAUCUGGAAUUAAAAAUUAAUUUAGUGGUGCAUCUGAGUGUUAAUAGGUAGUGCUGCUGCUGGAGAAAUAUUAAGUUAUUGAUGUUUAAAUUUUCAAAGCUCCAUAGUAAAAAAAAAAAACACCCAAAAACAUAAAACAUAAAAUGCAACCAGAUUUGACUUGGGAGAAAGGGACUUGCUGGUGGUGCUAGGAGGCAUGGGAUCUCCCCUAUGGGUAUAUGAACAGGGAUGGAUGGGAGAAAAGAGUGUCCCCCAUCUUUAUCCAGGGUCAUUGCUGUCAGGGGUGACAGAGCAGCAUCUCAGCUGCAGGUGUGUCUGCGUGGCUGUUGUCUUUGAAUAGAAGUUGGUGCCCUCUCUGAUGGGGCCUGGCUGGGGAGGGCUCUGUAUG